CCUACGGGUGGCAGCAGUGAGGAAUAUUGGUCAAUGGACGAGAGUCUGAACCAGCCAAGUAGCGUGAAGGAUGACUGCCCUAUGGGUUGUAACCUUCUUUUAUAAAGGAAUAAAACGAGGCAGGUGUGCCUUUUUGCAUUUACUUUAUGAAUAAGGAUCGGCUAACUCCGUGCCAGCAGCCGCGGUAAUACGGAGGGUCCGAGCGUUAUCCGGAUUGGUUGGGUUGAACGGGAGCGUAGAUGGGUUGUUAAGUCAGUUGUGAAAGUUUGCGGCUCAACCGUAAAAUUGCAAUUGAUACUGGCAGGCUUGAGUACAGUUGAGGUAGGCGGAAUUCGUGGUGUAGCGGUGAAAUGCUUAGAUAUCACGAAGAACCUCGAUUGCGAAGGCAGCUAACUAAACUGUGACUGUCAUUGAUGCUCGAAAGUGUGGGUAUCAAACAGGAUUAGAUACCCGAGUAGUC
rnacentral:rRNA from 1 species